rnacentral:rRNA from 1 species
UACGAAGGGGGCUAGCGUUGUUCGGAAUCACUGGGCGUAAAGCGCACGCAGGCGGAUUGAUAAGUCAGGGGUGAAAUCCCGGAGCUCAACUUCGGAAUUGCCUUUGAUACUGUCUGUCUUGAGUCCGGGAGAGGUGAGUGGAAUUCCUAGUGUAGAGGUGAAAUUCGUAGAUAUUAGGAAGAACACCAGUGGCGAAGGCGACACGCUGGGCUGUACCUGACGCUGAGGCGCGAAAGCGUGGGGAGCGAACCGG